GACGAAAUCGAAAAAAAAUGGGUGAAAGAAACGCAACAAAGCUGUAUUUAUGUGUGUGUAGAUGUUUUUGUCGUGUGUCUCGACUGCUGAUAUCGGUGUUUACCAAAGGUAAUUGUUUUUGGUGGAAUAGUUAAAGAAUGGAUGAUAAGUAUGCACUCGUUAGGGAUAUAGAGAGUAUUUAUUUUCGUUGUCAAUCUGUUGAUAUGCUUUCUAAACGGGUUAACUUUACCUUUUCUCCCGAUUUUUCAUUGUUUGCCGAUUUAGAUAAAAGCACCCAGUUAAUAGGUUCGUAGCCGAGUUAAGACGCAUCCCGUCUGUCGCAACACAUAUUCAUUCACAUUUUCUUUUCCUUUGAAAGAAAAGGGAGACAUUCGGGCCUAUGUUAAAAAGGUCGUGGUCGGAAUAACUCCAAUAUAAGUAAAUAACACACACGUUUAGUUACCCCCAAGACCUAUAUGC
rnacentral:lncRNA from 1 species